rnacentral:rRNA from 1 species
AACGAACGCUGGCGGCAUGCCUAACACAUGCAAGUCGAACGAGACCUUCGGGUCUAGUGGCGCACGGGUGCGUAACGCGCGGGAACCUGCCUUUAGGUUCGGGAUAACUCAGAGAAAUUUGAGCUAAUACCGGAUGAUGUCUUCGGACCAAAGAUUUAUCGCCUUUAGAUGGGCCCGCGUUGGAUUAGCUAGUUGGUGGGGUAAAGGCCUACCAAGGCGACGAUCCAUAGCUGGUCUGAGAGGAUGAUCAGCCACACUGGGACUGAGACACGGCCCAGACUCCUACGGGAGGCAGCAGUGGGGAAUAUUGGACAAUGGGCGAAAGCCUGAUCCAGCAAUGCCGCGUGAGUGAUGAAGGCCUUAGGGUUGUAAAGCUCUUUUACCCGAGAUGAUAAUGACAGUAUCGGGAGAAUAAGCUCCGGCUAACUCCGUG